rnacentral:lncRNA from 1 species
UCCUCCGCUGUCGCAAACGCCCAACCCUCUCUCCAAGGCCACCGCCCCCUGCUUCCUCCUCACACUCUAGGGCGUGAGUUGGGAGCUCCUCUCCCAUAGCAAUACACACCCUGACUAAUCUGUAGAUAACAAAACAAUACUCCAUAGCAGUGCACAUAAUCUAUGUGUAAAUCAUCAAGUUUACGGCAUUAGUGUGAACCCACCUAGUUUUCAACUCGCCAAGCAGUCAUCACAAUUCUUGCAGGCAUAAUGAUGAGCAAAGACAGAAAGGAAUCCAAGCAGACAAUGAAUCCUGUGACAAUUAGCUGCAGGAUUGAUCACAAUCAAAUAUCUCCCUGUUAUUGCAGAACAUGCUACAUCUAGAGUUACUAAACUGAAUCAUUUAGCUAUCUUUUGAAUGCGGUAAUCGAAUUCAUCCUUUUGAAGGUUCAAAGGAAUUGUCUAAUACAUUAUUUUUGUUAAUUUAUUAAGUACUCCCAUAAUCAUACCACUUGUAUCUAUCCUUAUCUUAACAAGGAUACGAAUUUAAUCAUAUUCAUUUCAGUUAAAAUAUGUGGUGAUAACAUGGUUCCAGAAAUAUUACAGUAACUGAUGCAUAUUGGAUUUGUCUCAAGCAAUGCUGGCAAACUAUUCCAAAUAGUUUAGAAUGGCCUGAAAUUUGAAAUAAUUAGAAUGACCCUAAAAUUACAAAAAAAAUAUCAAAUAUAUAGGGUACAAAGAAGGGAACAUAUUUGCAAGUGAGAUAUGAAGUAUCUAAAUGGUGAAUUGUUAUGAUGCUCGAUUUCUACAGUAUCACAUAGUUGAAAAGAGGUGUAAACGCAUACAUUGAACUAAUUUAGUGUGCAAUAGGAAAUCUGACUAAAAGUGGUUUUCAUCUAUGGCCACUACAAAACAACAAUUGUUAGGAGCUGGACAGUUAAAAAGAAAUGCAAAUCCACAUGCUGGUAAUGGUAUCUUUUAAAGGUUUUCAUAAAAAAUAAAUGAACAGAGUACCUUAGCGGUUUUAAUUAUUUGGUUCGACUUUCUGACCUACUAUUUCCACCCAUUUGUAUGCUGGUUAUGAUAUCUUUUAAAAGUUUCCAUACAAAAAUGAGCAAAGUACCUCACUGGUUUUAAUUAUUUGGUUCGACUUUCUAAGUUACUAUUUCCACCCAUUUGUAUCGUCUUGCACAAGUCGUUUGAUGAGCUUAUGGAGAAUCAGUGCAUCCUUAUUUUCUUACUUAGAAAAUGCAGGUUAUGAUAUGAUUAUCUUCAGGUUUUCUAACAAUCUUUUAUAUGUUCCAACUAAAACCAUGGUGCCAGUCUCAUGAUCCUCCAAAUUUGGCCGGGCGCAAAAUCAGCGAACUUAUAAUCAACACUAAUGAAACAACAUCACAACAUGAAAGAGAUGUGCAAAAAACUAAAAUACUAUGUGCUGAAAUCUAAACGAACAGAAAUCUAUACCUCUAAGCAUUUUGUUGUUCUCCUUGAUGUACUUGUCCUGUCCCAGUCCAGCGACUCGUCCUUCUCCAGUUUCUUCACAACACCAUUUGCCUUCCGUUGAGGUAAAG